CUGUGCACGUGACAGACUGACAGUGAGAGGAGCCGGUUCCUUCCCCACCAUUCCCGUACCUUUGUUUCCUCUUCCCCUAGCUAGUCUCGAGUCCUGACCUACCAAUCUCGACCUACAUCCCUACUCUUCCACCGCGUGCGCGCGUGGCCUACAAGCCGCCGCCGUGCCCAUAGCUCACAGCCGCCGGCUGACGCCCUCCCCAGACCCCUCCGCCCUCGCUGGCAUCGCCGUUCCUGUUCAUGCUCAUCGCGUCCCUGCUGUCCCGGUCCCGUCCGCAACCUUUGGCCAUCGGAUUUUGAGGUAGUGUACUGAUGAAGACAGAGAUUGAGGAGGAAGGCACCAGAGGGUCCUGGACUGAGGAGGACAAAUCCCUUUGUGCCUCUGUGCUGGGCUUAGAUGCCUUCACAUAUCUGACGAAAGGUGGAGGUGCCAUAUCUGAAAAUCUCGUAGCAGCGUCUGCGUUGGUGGGCUUGCAAAAUAAACUCCAGGACCUGGUUGAAGCUGAUGGUAAAAGCCUUCGUUGGAACUACGCCAUCUUCUGGCAACUCUCCCACACCAGAUCUGGUGAACUUGUCCUUGGCUGGGGUGAUGGAUCUUGCCGUGAACCCCAUGAUAAUGAGAUGAACUCGACUACUCGUGGUGAUAUUCAUGAUGCAUCUUCACUGAGCCAACAAAGGAUGCGUAAGCGAGUGUUAGAGCGACUGCAUACAGCAUUUGCUGGGGCUGAUGAGGAGGAUGAUGCUCUCAGAAUUGACCAGGUGACUGACACUGAGUUAUUCUUCCUAGCAUCCAUGUACUUUGCAUUUCCAUGUCAUGUAGGUGGCCCUGGGCAAGUGUUUGCAACAGGUGCACCCCUUUGGAUUCCUAACAAUCCGCACAAGGUUUCCCCCUCAAAUUAUUGCUAUCGUGGAUUCCUUGCAAGUGCAGCAGGAUUUAGGACUAUUGUGCUACUGCCAUUCGAAGCUGGUGUACUUGAGUUAGGCUCAAUGCAGAAUGUGCUUGAGAGUGCUGAAGCUCUGGAAACAAUAAGGUCUGUGUUUCUAGGGGCAAGCAGUAAGAAGGCAGCAUCUGAGAAGCAUGAUGAGAAUAGUUCUGCUCAAAUAUCACCCGGUUUGGCUAAGAUUUUCGGGAAGGAUUUGAAUCUGAGCCGACCUUUAGUCAACACGGGAGCAGUUCCAUUAAAAAUGAAUGAAAGGUCAUGGGAUAUGCAGAAGAAUUGUGGUGGUGAGAGCCUGUUGCUCCCCAAUGUCCGGAAAGGUUUGCAGAACUUCACAUGGAGUCAGGCUCGAGGCCUGAAUUCUCAUCAUCAGAAAUUUGGCAAUGGUAUUCUAGUUGUGAAAAGUGAGACUUCACAGCGUAGCAAUGGAGCUGCACAUAGCCCUGGAUUGAGCCCGUUUCAGCUUCAGAAUUCACAGCAGAUACUGACACAACCACCACCUCAGUCACAGACACCGAGGCAUAUAGAUUUUAGCGUAGGGUCUAGUUCAAAAUCUGGUGUUUUGACUUCACAAGCAGCUCUGUUGGGUGGGGAAAAUGGCAGUGUCGAUGGCUUGUGUAAGGAGCAAGUGGCCCCUGCAAUGGAGGGCCAGCCACCAAGAAAGAGGGGAAGAAAACCAGCAAACGGGAGGGUAGAGGCGCUUAACCAUGUUGAGGCUGAGCGCCAAAGGAGGGAAAAACUCAACCAGAGGUUCUAUGCACUGAGAGCUGUUGUUCCCAAUAUCUCAAAAAUGGACAAAGCAUCGCUCCUGGGAGAUGCCAUAACGCACAUCACUGAUCUCCAGAAGAAGCUCAAAGAGAUGGAGUCGGAAAGAGACAUGUUCUUGGAGUCUGGUAUGGUAGACCGCAGGGUCCAAACACCUAGGCCAGAAGUAGAUAUCCAGGUGGUGCAAGAUGAGGUUCUUGUUCGUGUAAUGUCACCUAUGGACAACUAUCCAAUAAAUAAUGUGUUCCAAGCUUUUGAAGAGGCACAAGUCAAAGUUGGUGAAUCAAAGAUCACAUCCAACAAUGGGAAAGUCAUGCAUUCCUUCGUUAUCAAGUCCCCUGGCUCUGAACAGCAAACAAGAGAGAAAUUGAUUGCUGCUAUGUCUCGUGCAAUGAACUCCAUGUAGAUUUAUAACUUGAUGCAUUAGAAGGCAGAUUGCUUUUCUAGUUGUGAACAGGUAGCAAUGGGACUCCUCAGUGUCCAUGUAAUUGCUACAUGACCACAGAAAGCUCAGAUUCUGACUUCGCAAAAUAAUCUGUGGGCAGAACUGAAUAUGUGGAUGGAUCAGGUGCUAGAGGAGAUGGUCUGGUCUUGUGCUCAUUUGGUCUGUGAGCAGCGGAAUGUCCAAGGUGCAUAUGGUUGUACAGGAGAGGUGAAGGAAGAAGUGAAGUGCAUCAAGGCCAUUACAGAGGCUGAUACAGAGGGAAGGCUAUCUUAUAGUCAUGUGUUAAGGGACAGCAGCAGCAGAUGACGGCGCGGGACGAAGAGGAUUUGUAUUUUCGAAACAGUUUCCAGUCUUCAGCAUUGCAGCGCCAAGAGCAAAAAGGACGGUGUUCAAGUAUGCUACUAGCAACGAUGACUGCUAAAGUUUGCACACAACGGUCAACAUCAAGCUUGCUACUGCAGCUCCAUCCAUCGGUACGUGAAUCCCAUCAAAGUAAUCUGGAUGCUAUGUUGUGCAUCCCCGAAGUUAUGGACACCCUUAGGUUCCUUGGUUUGCUAGGCACUAGCCGGUCGUUGAGCUGGUGAGGGGCUGUGAUUUAACUUCGGAUGGCCCUCAUCACGGGUCCUUAUUUUACUGUAAUGCUUGCUUGACGUGGUAUGGCAGAUGAAUCAUCUUGUGGAUUUUUUUUAUUUGAGAGAAGAUCUAUGGAUGGCCGUAUUACUUGU